GAAUAAUUAACAUAUAAGUUAAUGUUUAUAUUUUGAAAAUAUAAAAAAAGAAUUUAAUUCUUAUUAUUCU
rnacentral:tRNA from 1 species